rnacentral:rRNA from 1 species
AUGGUUAGUCCAUUACAAAGAGGCAGCGGCUUCUGCUCGUCACAACAAAGACGAGGCCCCGGAAUCGAUCGAGGAAGCAAGCAACCGCACCCAAACCCUAGCCGAGCUCAGCCGACGCCGCCUCCUCCUCCGGAUUCCGUUGCCAUGGCGCUGCGCUCUCCCUCCAGCACUUCGCGGCAGGAUCUGUCGCCGCCGGCGGACUCUCUGCCUCCCAUCUCUCAGGGUGGAUCCAGCAAUGGAGCCAAAGCAGAUGUUGCUAGGAAGAAGGAGGUUGAUCAUUUGUUGGCAAAAUUAAAAAAGGAGGGAGUGGAGAUAGAUGGCAACAUAGCUAGUAUUAUUGAUGAUGAGAUGGCUAGAAUUAAAGCUGAAGCUGAGAGGGCGAGCAUCAUUAAUGGUCUGAAAAGGAACGGGUGGUUGGUAAUGCUCACUAUUACAUCUGCUGCUUUGGGUUUCCUCCUGGGAGGGGAAUGUUAUGAAAAGGCCCUCUAUGCGCAGAUGCGCGUCAUUUUUGGUGAAGAAGAAUAG